rnacentral:rRNA from 1 species
GGCUCAGGAUGAACGCUAGCGACAGGCUUAACACAUGCAAGUCGAGGGGCAGCGUGGUGUGGCAACACACUGACGGCGACCGGCGCACGGGUGAGUAACGCGUAUGCAACUUGCCUAUCAGAGGGGGAUAACCCGUCGAAAGACGGACUAAUACCGCAUGAAACAGGGGCCCCGCAUGGGGAUAUUUGUUAAAGAUACAUCGCUGAUAGAUAGGCAUGCGUUCCAUUAGGUAGUUGGCGGGGCGACGGCCCACCAAGCCGACGAUGGAUAGGGGUUCUGAGAGGAAGGUCCCCCACACUGGUACUGAGACACGGACCAGACUCCUACGGGAGGCAGCAGUGAGGAAUAUUGGUCAAUGGGCGAGAGCCUGAACCAGCCAAGUCGCGUGAGGGAUGACGGCCCUACGGGUUGUAAACCUCUUUUAUAAGGGAAUAAAGGGCAUCACGUGUGGUGUUUUGCAUGUACCUUAUGAAUAAGCAUCGGCUAACUCCGUG